CGGACGGGUGAGUAACGCGUGAGGAACCUGCCUUGAAGAGGGGGACAACAGUUGGAAACGACUGCUAAUACCGCAUGACGCAUAGAGGUCGCAUGAUCUUUAUGCCAAAGAUUUAUCGCUUCAAGAUGGCCUCGCGUCUGAUUAGCUGGUUGGCGGGGUAACGGCCCACCAAGGCGACGAUCAGUAGCCGGACUGAGAGGUUGAACGGCCACAUUGGGACUGAGAUACGGCCCAGACUCCUACGGGAGGCAGCAGUGGGGAAUAUUGGGCAAUGGGCGCAAGCCUGACCCAGCAACGCCGCGUGAAGGAAGAAGGCUUUCGGGUUGUAAACUUCUUUUAAGAGGGAAGAGCAGAAGACGGUACCUCUAGAAUAAGCCACGGCUAACUACGUGCCAGCAGCCGCGGUAAUACGUAGGUGGCAAGCGUUGUCCGGAUUUACUGGGUGUAAAGGGCGUGCAGCCGG
rnacentral:rRNA from 1 species